rnacentral:rRNA from 1 species
AUUGAACGCUGGCGGCAGGCCUAACACAUGCAAGUCGAACGAGUGGCGGACGGGUGAGUACUGUCUGGGAAACUGCCCGAUGUAUGGGGAUAACUACUGGAAACGGUAGCUAAUCCCGCAUACCAUCGGAUGUGCCCAGAUGGGAUUAGCUAGUAGGUGGGUUAACGGCUCACCUAGGCGACGAGCCCUAGCCGGUCUGAGAGGAUGACCAGCCAAACGGGGACUGAGACACGGUCCAGACUCCUACGGGAGGCAGCAGUGGGGAAUAUUGGACAAUGGGCGCAAGUCUGAUGCAGCAAUGCCGCGUGUAUGAAGAAGGGAUUCGGGUUGUAAAGUACUUGCGUCAAGGAGGCGUUACGCGAAGAAGAAGCAACGGCUAACUACGUGCCAGCAGCCGCGGUAAUAC